GUUUUGAUCUGGUAUGCUUCGCAUUACGUGCAAAAGUAUUCAGUCUUUACCUGAUAUGAGCGGCAGCGACAGCUAGAGUUUAGAAGAACAUAACUAGGCCAGUUUCAGGUGAACCACCACUUCUGUACGAUGUCAACAACCCGUACUGGGCACCAAGCGUCCAGCUUGGUCACAACAAGUGACUGCACUGUAAUUUAGACAGAUACAGUAGGCGCAAGAAUAGGGCAGCAUGCCAGGCAGGAGUUGCAAGGCACCUCACAGAACUCAAAAAUGUGCCUGUGGCUGACAGUGCUGGUACAGACACAGAAGCAUCAGAGUGUGGACUCAGUUGAGGUAACAUUUCGGUGGAUCACCCAUUUGCAGAUGAUGAAGACGGGCAACUACAGGAUGCGCUUUCACAUGACAAGGCAAUUGCAUCGGAUAUCUCCAUGGCUGAUAUUCUCCGACUUGAAGAAGAAAUCCGAAGGUUAAACCACGAGGUCUACAAGCUGAAGGCACAUAUGGCACAUACGAGAAAUGACACAAGCGUAUUUUCAGAAUGACUCUGCUGCAGUGAAGUUUUACUCUGGACUUCCCAACUAUGCAAUGUUGCUUACAGUUUUCGAUUUGGUUGAGAACCAUGUCCACCAUACAUCUUGCAAUUCUUUGACGAAAUUUCAGGAGAUAAUGUUAACUUUGGUUCGGCUUUGUUUAAACGUGCCUCUUCAAGAUCUU